UUACAAUAAGACUGGUCAGAGUUCAGUUGUUGUAGCCUAUUACUUGUGAGGUCUUGCCCCGACCAGAAGACCUGCUGACCUCUCAGGCUAAAAAUACCAUGAUGCAUCUCACCGCCCAGAACCACCGGCUAGCUUCUAAAAAUGUAUGUAAUUCCAAAAUACCUAAACUCCAUCUGUCAGCCACACAGGGAGGGGAAGAGGAGGUGGUGAUGGUGGGUCCGCUUAAGACUGGCUCUGCCAUGCUGCCAACGCUAGGCCAAGAGGGCCCUGCCACCCAGAGAGAUUCCUCGCUCCUAGUCAGGUCUUUCCUGCCUGGCUCAUCCCGAGCGAGGGAGGGGGAGAACCUGCCCCUGCGGCGGCCUCUGAAGCUGGCCCCUCUGGAGCUGCCCAGAGAGGUACAGAAGGCCCAGAGACAGAAGAUGAAGGGGAUUGGUCUGGAGGCCAAGGGUGUUUCCCGCAAACUGGACACUACGGUGGGGGACCAACCCUGCCCCAGGAAGGUGAAGGCCUGUGGGGUGAGAGGAGAGAGACCAGAACUGGUUAAGGGUGCGGCAGAGUGUGUCUCCACCCCAGCCCCACAUCCCCUGCCCCUGACUGAAACAGCACCCAGAGUCCAGCGACAGCAGAAGGUUCUGAGAAAGGAGCUUGCUCAUGCCAACCCAAUCCAGAGACACACAGGAGGCAGGCUCUCAGAAGAUUUUGGCUCUACCAUUAAAGACCUCCAUCCUCCUCCUAGAAGCAAACCAGUCUCUCCCUCUGCCUCUUUCCCCGUCAGUACCAAAGCUCAGGCCCAGCAGGCGCC
ensembl:lncRNA